AAAAGCACUUUGAAAAGAGAGUGCAAGAGAACGUGAAACCGUUGUAGUGGAAGCAGAUGGAGCCGACGUAUCCAGUGCGUAUUCAGCUGUUGUCGAGCACGAUUUUGUCGUUUUUAGAGUUCUGCAAAGUCUCUGGCGAUGAAAUGUCGUGUUCGGGAGCAGUGCAUUUGCGUACAGAGUGCGCCGAAUCGGCUGGACUCUAGUGUGCGAAGGUCGUAAAGAGGACCAGUCUUCGGGCUGGAAACCUGGGCGAUACGGAGAACAGAUGAGUCUAGCUGCGUUGUGGGUGAGGCUUAUUUGGAGCGAUCGAGCGAGCGUGGUGUUGUUUGCACGAGACGCAUGCGUUUCGUGUUUGUAGCAUUCGACUGGUUUGAUGGCUGCUAAGCCUACAUUCGGUGUCUAGUCGGUGACCCAUUUGACCCGUCUUGAAACACGGACCAAGGAGUUUAGGGUGUGCGCGAGUCAUUGAGUGGAAAGCUCAAAGGCGUAAUGAAAGUGGGACACUUGGUGUCUGUGAUGCGAUCUGUGUGUGAUUUGUUGUGCGCGGAGCAGCAUCGACCCACGACCAGGACUUGUUCUGUUGUGGAGUCUGAGCGUACGCUUUGAGACCCGAAAGAUGGUGAACUAUGCCUGAACAGGAUGAAGUCAGAGGAAACUCUGAUGGAAGUCCGAAGCGGUUCUGACGUGCAAAUCGAUCGUCUGAUUUGGGUAUAGGGGC
rnacentral:rRNA from 1 species